rnacentral:piRNA from 1 species
UGUGAGGAAUCUGUCUAUAUUGGUGCU